rnacentral:misc_RNA from 1 species
GUGAAGAGCCCUCAACAAACAAUUGGAGCUACCAUUAAGCAUCACAUAUGUCAAAAGAUGGGUCUUAGGCCGGACGAGGUUUACCAUGUGACUGUGAUGCCUUGUUAUGAUAAGAAGCUUGAGGCUGCAAGGGAUGACUUUGUUUUUGAAGUGGAAUCCCAGGAAGAAACUAAUGAGAGUGGCAUCAGGAUUACAGAGGUAGAUUCUGUUUUAACAUCCGGAGA